AAAAGAAAAGAAAAUAAAACAACCCACACGUACGCACGUCCCAACUCCCACCUCCCACCCCCUUCCACCAGACCCCUCGCUAUCGAUCCCGUGUCUUGCAGAGAGGAAUCACCGCCGCCGGCCUCCUCCUAGAUUGGAGCGGUGGAUCCGCAUCUAUUCUCUUCAUCACCGAGUCCAUGAGGUGCUCGAUGUGGCAGGGGCGACGAACAGGAGUGCCGCAUCAAUAACAGCGACGAACGACGGCCCAGGUAAUGCCAUCUCCUUACCCUCGCUCCACCGCAUCUUCUCACGCCAAUCAGUGGAUAUGCAACUGCGGCCCAGACUUGGUGGCCGAGCAGCAGCGACCUCGACGCGGCGCAUGCGUGGUAGCUGAUGCACGGCACAGCGACCGCGACCAGGACGCGGUGGCGGGAGAACGGCGACGGCUGACAAGACCUGGCGUGACGGCCGUGAAGAUAUCGACUCCGACGACUCGCCUCCGUUCAACAGCGCCCUGCUUUUCCGCAUCGCCUCCGCAAGCAUCACCUUCUUUUCCGCGCGCACAUCACCUCGGUCACUGGUAAGCCGUUGUAUCUCUAUAUUCUGUUGGCGGUCUGGAGGAGCUCUGGGAUUUGGAGAAUGCACGGGCUGGAGUUGGGGAAUAGCUCGGGCUUCCUUCAGAAGACGAUAGGUCUUGUUUGGAUUUUUUUAGAAGAAUUAAUUUGAUUUGGAUGAGACUAAUCAGUGCGUCAUGUGGGCCUCCAAUCGAAAUUUGUGGUGAGAACUUUCCUUCCAUUCAUCUUCUAAUCAGAUUUUGAUAUUUGUGCCAUUGAUUUGAGUGCGGAUGAAGAGCUUUCUAUGGACGAAGAGUCAACAAUGCAUUGGCAUUUUCCAAGUCCAAUACCUGCUUUUAACUAUUCAACUUUCUUCUCUUUUUUUGAGAACUAACUUCUUUUCUUUGUGAAAAAACUAUUCACGAAUCAGAAUCAUCGAAUUCACGAACUGCUCAUCGAAUUCAUCCCACCGAACUCGAUUCGUUGGCACUACCGAAUCGCAAAUCCCAAACCCGAAUCAGUGGACUACGAAUCCGGUAACUAUGGCAGGGACUGGCAAGUGGCAACAUACGUCUGGUGGCGUAAAGGACGACGGGUGGUGGUAGGGCUAUGGGUGGAGCAGGUAGACGGAGGAGGUUGCCUGUGGAAAUCUGGCAUGUGGCGGCAUAAAGGCGUAAAGGACGACGGGUGGUGGUAGUGCUAUGGGAGGAGCAGGUAGGGCUAUGGCGGCAUAAAGGUUGUGUAGAAAUCACUCAAGUCUGCUUUUUAUUGUGGAAGCUCGUUGUAUGUGUAAAAUUAUUUAUACUCUUGGUCCCGGCGCACGGAGCCUACAACACACCGAAUGUUCCUGCUGCUGCUGUAAGCAUUUCAUUUGAUUAUGUUUUCACCUGUUGCUGCUGUGAACAUCAAUUAUCUUUACUACUGAGUCUAUCAUAUUUUGGUUAUGUUGAUGGCAGUACCAAGCAGGAAAACACCAGAAUAAGUUCAACUUGGGGAAGAGCAUGAAGGUGAUGAACUCGCUCGGCGGCUUGUACCGUGUUUUGUGCUGGAGGAACAUAAAAAUCUCCGUUUCCUCGUUACUUUAUUCUGAUGGUUUAUUUGCCAUAUGUUAGAUUGGCGAGAGGUGGGGUACCAGAAAGAGGCGACGUUAAAAUCGGUGCCAGUGACGACGACGGUGGACACAAUGAGCUUGGCGACAGCGGCUGCCGCAACAUUGUUGUACUUGGAGCCCAUGCUAUCCGAGCUCGACAAUGCCAAUAGCUCAGUCCUUUUGCGUGUUCAUUGACAAGUUGUCCGUACAGUACCUUGGCGUCAACAACCACGGCCAUGAUGACGGAGUCGUGCUGGCCGACUGCCCUGCUUCCAUGCGCCGAGCAGUCUACUGGUUUGAGAUGACCAUGAGGACUGCUGGGCUCAAGGGGUUGAAUCGGGUUCACCACAUGUGGGGUGGCAACCUGGGUCAGCUAACUUUUGUUGGCCCUUUCUGCUAUUUGGUAUCUCUAGCCUGGUUUUAGUGCUCUGACAGCACUUAGCAAUGCUAAACUUGAGACCAAAAGGAGUUGUAAGAAGUGUUCCUUCGAAAUUGUACACUAAACUGCUUGCACGUUUUCAUGCAUGUUGGCACUCA